GGAACUUCUAGUCUUACUUCUGACCUCCAAUCCCUGGGAGAGGGGCUGGAGAUUGAGUUCAAUCACUAAUGGCUGAAGACUGAAUCAAUCACGUCUGUGUAAUGAAGCCACCACUAAACUGCAAAGGGAUAGGGUUUGGAGAACUUUCAGGAAAUAGAAAAAAAAAUUCUGGCUAAUUCCUCUAAUACUUCUGGACCCUCAUUGGCUAGGAAAUCAUGCUGUGUUCCCAUAUCUAUUUUCUGGUUCCGUGGAAGCUUCUUGAGUACAUGUCUAAUUUGGUUGGGUUCCCCCACUCUCGUACAGCUUCUCAUACAGAUGUCUUGUUUAUAAUAUUUCAAGCAGCUUCGGGUCCAAUGAGCUAUUGCAACACUAUGGCAUUGACAAUAACUAAAAGUUUUCUCACCUUGGAAUGGCAGAAGGAGAAAAACAAGCUUUUGCAGGUGAAGGAAAACAGGAAGAAUUCAUUGCUAGCAGACCUGCACCGUACUGCAAGAAAAUUAAGAAAGUGCUUCAGGCAGAGGAGUAAGAUCAACUUAUAUUAACAUGAUAAUAUGAUAGACAGAAACUUCAUCUACACAAGCAAUGGAGAGCACUGGAAAUGGCAAAAGUCAAAGGUCUCUACUCAUGACCUUCACCUGGAGCAUGACUGGGAAAAUACAGAAAAAGGGAUGGAGUGCCAUUCUUAAGUAGCUUACCUUGAAGACUUAGUGCCGCUUGCAUAGCUGGCAGCAAUACGAAGUCGCCUAUAUCACUCAAAGGAAUAAUGGACCCUAUUAAAAGCUGCUGCAAACACUGUGAUUGAAUUGCUCUGUUUAUCAGUCUAAGAUGCACAACUGCAUACUUUGGCCCUACUAAAAGUUAGUGUUCCAUUGUUUUUAAAUUCUUAAUGUUCUUGGAUGAAAAACCAAGUGUUGAGGUUUCGGAGAGAUCACUAAUCAAUUCCAACCUUCUUUCUUGUGAAUUAUGAUCAUAUUUAAUACAAGUCAAAUAACUCCACAUACAACAAAGUACACUCAUUCUCAUUAAGUGUUAGUCUUCACUCCAUUUCCUAACAGAGAAACAAUAGACACUAAACAAAGAAACAUGACAUUAAAACAAGAACUGAAAAUUAAGAGGUAAUGCGUGACUAAAUUUCCUG
rnacentral:lncRNA from 1 species